GGGGGAAGCCACCUACUCAAACUGUCUUUUCAUGCUGCCAUUUGAGCUACUGCUGCCUUCUUGCAAAGUCUAGAAAUUUACACUGGUAGCAGCUCCAGUCACCAUAUGCUGUUUUACUCCCUCCCUAUCUCACCUCUAAAUUUAAUUUAAUCCCUCUUAAUUCCAUUUAUUUUUUGAGCUCUGUGCUUUCACACUUCCUUGUGAGCAAGCAUUUUAGUCCUAUGCUUUAAUUCAGUCAUUUAAUAAGGGUAAGCUUAGAAAUUUUUGAAAUCUGUGGCACAGGAAAGAAUUCCCCUAGUCCUCUCAUUUAUUUGAACUGGAGAAUCACCUUCAGCAUAUUUCUAAGGUAAACUUGUUCUGUUUUUUUUUUUUUUCUUUUUCUGUAACUUGUGACCCCAGAAGCCUAAUUUGUACCAGCUUUUGCCAUAUGCUCCUCAGCUUUUGAAAGUCCCAGAUAUUGUGAAUCAUUUGUUUUUGUUGUUUUUGUUUUCAAACAGCUUUACUGAAAAUAAUUCACGUGCCAUACAACUUAUUCAUUUAGAGUAUACCAUCUAAUAUUUUUCAGUCUACUCACUGCUGUGCGGCCAUCAGCACAAUUAAAUUUUAGAACAUUUCAACCUCCUAAAAAAAAAAAAACCUUGUUCCCAUUAGCAGUCAAUCCCUAUUCUAUACCAACCCUAAGCAACUUACUAAUAUAUUUCAUUAUUCUGGCCAUUUAAUACAAAUAUGUUCUUUUGUGAUUAGAUUCUUUAACUUAGCAUAAUGUUUUUAAGAGCAAUUGUGCCAUAGCAUGAAUUAAUACUUCAUUUCUUUUUAUUGCCAAAUAAUAUUCCCUUGUAUGGAUAUGCCAGAUUGUAUUGACACACAUUCAUCAGUUGAUAGACAUUUGGGUUAUUUCCACUCUUGGGCCACUAUGAAUAGUAUUGUUAUGAAUAAUCAUAAACAAGGUUUUGUAUGGAUAUAUAUUUUCAUUUCAUUUGCAUAUAUACAUUGGAAUGGAAUUGUGGGUCAUAUGAUAACACUAUGUUUAACUUUUGAGAAACUGCCAGACUGUUUUUCAUAGUGAUUGCACCAUCUUACAUUCCCACCAGCAGCAUUCCACAAAGGUCCUGCCAAAGGACACAGCAAAGGUCUCAUUGAACAAGAUAUGCCUGCUAUCAAGGAACUUUGGAUUUCUUGUGCCCAAGAACAAGCAAAUAAGAAGAGAAGUCAUUGUUUCAGCAAGGAUAAUUGUGUUCAUCAGAAGGAGGAUUCCAAUUUUCCAUGGGAAAAACCCCACUAUCACUGAGUGAAGAAGAUUUUGGCACUCUCAGUCCUCAUUAUCCCAGCUGCUUAAGAGUAGAGGAAGAAGACCUUCCCAGGAUGGCCACUCACCACCUUGGUAAAGCACCACUGAGAUUCAUAUCUAGAAUUGUCUCUCAAUGCCAAGAAUUCAAUUACUAUGAAGAAUACAAGUACAGAGAAGAAAGGAUAGGGGGUAAAGUUACUGGAUCUUGUGUUUGGAAGUACAGAGUGAAUAAUCUGAGACCUAGCAUUCUUCCUGCAAUAUGUACACAGAGAGGAAGUGUGACAGGCAUGAGGUGCACCUCAGACUUUCAACUCUAAGGACCUUAACUGGCCAAAGCCUGCUGCACUCUGAAUCUACCAUAUUUUCACCAAGGGUGUGCCUCUUAUUGGCUUCUCCAAGCCAAUGACUGAGCACACGAGGAUCCUGAAACAAGAUUAUUCCUGAAGAACAUAGGUCUCUUCUUAUACCCAGCUUUGGCUCUAGGACUCUCUGAUGAUCAUGCUGAACCUUCUUACAUUGCAGAGCAAACUGUUUCCUUUCAACCUCUUUUCACAAGGGGUCAGAUUUUCAUCCCCCAGUUUUAUCCAGCUCCCUCCCCAUUUCUGUCACAGAGGCAUUUUUUUUCCAAUAAAAGCCUUGCCUGUAAGCCCGCCUUAAUGUCUACCUCUUGUUGGACCUAGACAAACAUAAGAGGUACAUAAGUUGAGUGAUCCAAAAAAACCAGGCCAUUAAAUGGGUAAAGAGACUGACUCACUCGCCACUCAACAGUUGGAGAGGAACAUCAUUCUCCUUUAUAAAUGAGAAAUGGAU
rnacentral:lncRNA from 10 species